rnacentral:rRNA from 1 species
CCCGGGAAACUGUGGCUAACACCUGAUAGGGAACACAUCCUGGAAUGGUGUGUUCUUCCAAACUCGUGCCAAAGGAUCGGACGGCGGCGGAUUAGGUAGUUGGCGGUGUAACGGACCACCAAGCCAAAGAUCCGUACGGGCCAUGAGAGUGGUAGCCCGGAGAGGGACACUGAGAUACUGGUCCCAGCCCUACGGGGUGCAGCAGGCGCGAAACCUUUACAAUGCACGCAAGUGUGAUAAGGGGAUCCCCAGUGCUCACGUACUGCGUGGGCUUUUGCCAAGUGUAAAUAGCUUGGCGAAUAAGUGGUGGGUAAGACUGGUGCCAGCCGCCGCGGUAACACCAGCGCCACGAGUGGUAACCGCGAUUAUUGGGCCUAAAGCGUCCGUAGCCGGCCUCGUAAAUCCUCUGUGAAAUCGUGCGGCUCAACCGUACGACGCGCAUGGGACACUGCGAGGCUCGAGACCGGGAGGAGUCAGAAGUAUUCCAGGGGGAGCGGUAAAAUGUUAUAAUCCCUGGAGGACUACCUGUGGCGAAGGCGUCUGACCAGAACGGAUCUGACGGUGAGGGACGAAAGCCAGGGGAGCGAACCGGAUUAGAUACCCGAGUAGUCCUGGCCGUAAACGCCGUGAGCUAGGUGUUGCACCAGCGAUUGCUGGUGCAGUGUCGAAAGGAAGCUGUUAAGCUCACCGCCUGGGAAGUACGGUCGCAAGACUGAAACUUUAAGGAAU